UUAGUAAGAUGUGGCUUAGAAAUAGGAAUGUUUGUCUAUUUUUGGAAUGGGUUACUGGUGUAUAGAAGCAAUUAUUGCUCUUGACUGGAUUAAAUGACAUACAAAUUCUUUUUCACGUUUGGCUUUUAAUGAGUUCCAUACAAAUUUGCAGAGGAGAUCUAAAGUUCCCAACUUUCAUUCCUUGAUAUUGCUUUAUCCAAGCAAAAAAAAAGUGCAAAGAAAAAAUAGUAUUUGAAGUUAUAACCUAGAAUGACUAACAUGCAGAAACAGAGAAAAGGAAGCUUUUGAAGAAGAUGAUCCCUAAAGAGUGAAAGCUCUAUUGGCCCUUGAGGAUAUUCUCUGUCAGAAAGACAAAUCAUGGAUAAGAGCGAGGGAAAUUGUUCUGUACAGCUUAUUGAUGGAGAUGGUACAUACAAUGUCUCUGGCAUAGAUCACUUCAUCAAAGAGGUGAAGCUUGGAGAAUGUGGCCUCUCCUAUGCUGUUGUCUCCAUCAUGGGUCCUCAAAGCAGCGGGAAGAGUACCUUGUUGAAUAAUUUGUUUGGAACAAACUUUAUGGAGAUGGAUGCAUUUAAGGGAAGGU